AUGAAACACUGCCAGGCUGGCAAGUGCCAAGCUACCCCAUUUCAGAGCAACUCCCAAUCCUCACUCACAGGAGGAAAUGAGCCAGAAGGGUUGUCCUGGGACCCAGCUGCAUGCCCCGUCCUGCUCUCUCCCACAUCACUCCUGGAAUUUCCCCUCCUCUCAGUUCACUGCAGCGUGGUAUGUGAGACUGUGAGGGAAGAGAAGACAAACACUGGCGAAGGCUGGAGGAAAGGGCUGCAUGCUGGUUGAAUGCAGACAGGUGGGCAGGUGAAGGAAUAUUUGGCUGUGAGGUUUAGCUACAAGGGAAGCAGUCAGAAACCCAAUAGCGUUUGGAGACUCCAAACUGGACUAAAUGUAAAUCCAUUUGCCAGUAAGCUGAAAGGGCAAGAAAGCUGGAGGUGUUAACUGAAAAAGCAAAAGAGAUUAAGGCCAUUGUUCCAUGAGGGGGAGG
rnacentral:lncRNA from 1 species